rnacentral:rRNA from 1 species
UACGUAGGGCGCAAGCGUUAUCCGGAAUUAUUGGGCGUAAAGAGCUCGUAGGCGGUCUGUCGCGUCGAAUGUGAAAACCCGGGGCUCAACUCCGGGCUUGCAUUCGAUACGGGCAGGCUAGAGUUCGGUAGGGGAGUCUGGAAUUCCGGUGUGAGCGGUGAAAUGCGCAGAUAUCAGGAGGAACACCGGUGGCGAAGGCGGGACUCUGGGCCGAUACUGACGCUGAGGAGCGAAAGCGUGGGGAGCGAACAGG